rnacentral:lncRNA from 8 species
CUUUGAAGUUUGUGGAAAUGUGAAAUUAAUGUAGGAGAAUAUAACACAUUAGAUCUGGUAAAAGAUAAUACAAAGAAAAAACAUUAUUUUUUUGUACCAUCAUCUUUGAAAUUCAAGAGAAGGGCCAUAAUGUAUUAUUCCAGGCCAGGCGCAAUUUAGAUUUGGGCCACUAGAUGGCCGCAGUGUAUGUGCAAAGUUUUAGACUGAUCCAAUGAACCAUUGCAUAUCUGGUCAAUGUUCUAUCAAAACUGCCCGACUCUGCCUAAUUUGUUUAUUAAUACAUUUUCAAGUUCAUAAUUGUGCACUCUCCUCAGAUAAUAGCAUGGUAUUCUUUCACUGCAAUAGCUACUGUAAAUUAGACAGUGCAGUUAGAUGAACAAUAAUUGAAGCUUUCUGCACAUAUCAGAUAUGUCUAUGUCCUGGGAAUUGUUUUGUUACUUACAACCUCAUGCUAAUCACAUUAGCCUACGUUAGCUCAACCGUCCCGCGGGGGGACACCGAACCCAGAGAGGUUUUAAACAUUCAAUAUGCACACCAGACCUGAUCUUGUGACACCCAACAUGUACUCGGCAGCUUGUUCCAACCCAUAAGAUUCAUCAUCUCUUCAUAAAUCCUCUAAUCUCUCCAACCCCCCAUCCUCUGUCACCAGGACCUCCAUAUCGUCAGCACAGACGAGCACCAGGUCUUCGAGGCGGUGCAGAAGUGAAACCAGAAUGAUACCUACAACCUGUACCUCUCCGACAUCUGGGGCAUCCUCUUCACCCUGGCCAUGGAGAAUGUCUAGACCACUUGGGGCCUGGGGGCCUGGGGGGCAAUCAGAUGCUGGACCUGUACGAGAUGGCAGGUACUGUAUCAAAGGAAUGCUGAUCGCUAAACAGGAGGCUGGACAACCAGGUGAAGACCUACAUCACAUACAACAAGGGUCGUGAUUGGAGGUUACUGCAGCCCCCGUCGACAGACCUGGCUGGCAACGACAUCCACUGUAUACUGUGAUUAUGGCUAUGAACGGCGUAGAGAAGGGAACUGUCUACCAGCGUUCUGGUUCAACCCAGCUGUUGAAUCAAGGAGCUGCAGCCAAGGACAGAUUUACCUCAUCAGCACAGGGUUCUGUAGAACAUGUUCAGCUGCUGGCUCCGUUUGUGGCCAUCAAGAACAAGGAAGUAAACCUAAUAGCAGUGGUCUGGCCCAUCCACUCCAGGACUCUUACCUACUUCUGGUGA